GUUGAGGGGAAUGUUGUUUGGUUCGAAAUCAUUCAAACAAAUUAAAAUUCAUGCAUCUCGAUGAUCGAUGAAUUGAAUAAUUUCGGACCAGGCUUCAUUCCCCCCAAC
rnacentral:pre_miRNA from 1 species